ACUCAAAUGAAUUGACGGGGGCCUGCACAAGCGGUGGAGUAUGUGGCUUAAUUCGAUGCAACGCGAAGAACCUUACCUGGCCUUGACAUGUAUCUAGUAGGAGCUUGAAAGAGUGACGAGGUAGCAAUACCAGGGUACACAGGUGCUGCAUGGCUGUCGUCAGCUCGUGUCGUGAGAUGUUGGGUUAAGUCCCGCAACGAGCGCAACCCUUAUGUCCUGUUGCGAUCCGAACGAGAGUUUGGAGCACUCUGGACAGACUGCCUCGCUUAAACGAGGAGGAAGGUGGGGAUGACGUCAAGUCAGUAUGGCCCUUACGGCCAGGGCUGCACACGUACUACAAUGCUCGGCACAAAGGGAAGCAAGACUGCAAAGUGGAGCAAAUCCCCUAAAACCGAGCCCAGUUCGGAUUGUCGUCUGCAACUCGACGGCAUGAAGCUGGAAUCGCUAGUAAUGGCGCAUCAGCUACGGCGCCGUGAAUACGUUCCCAGGCCUUGUACACACCGCCCGU
rnacentral:rRNA from 1 species